rnacentral:rRNA from 1 species
AAUCUUGUGCAAUGGGCGAAAGCCUGACGCCGCCAUGCCGCGUGAAUGAUGAAGGUCCUAGGAUUGUAAAAUUCUUUCACCGGGGACGAUAAUGACGGUACCCGGAGAACAAGCCCCGGCUAACUUCGUGCCAGCAGCCGCGGUAAUACGAAGCGGGCUAGCGUUGCCCGGAAUUACUGGGCGUAAAGGGCGCGUAGGCGGAUCGUUAAGUCAGGGGUGAAAUCCCGGGGCUCAACCUCGGAACUGCCCUUGAUACUGGCGAUCUUGAGUAUGAGGGAGGUAUGUGGAACUCCGAGUGUAGAGGUGAAAUUCGUAGAUAUUCGGAAGAACACCAGUGGCGAAGGCGACAUACUGGCUCAUUACUGACGCUGAGGCGCGAAAGCGUGGGGAGCAAACA